CCCGCGGCCGCGAGGCGGGGCUGGAGGGCGCUGCGGGCUGCGCGGAGGCUGCGGGAAGCGCGGGGAGCACGCGGAGCCCGACUAGCAGGGAGAUCGCGUCGCGCCGGGCACAGGCACGGGACCCGCGCUCUAGGAGGGCGCAGCGAGAGGCGCACUGCGCACCCAGGGGCUGCGGUCCCGGCCGCCGUGCGGUGACAAGCUGACUCCCCGCCGCCGCCCAGCCAAGUCCGCGCGGGGUGCUGGCGGAGAUGUCGCAUGGGAGGCUUCUUCAACGAGGAUUAGAACAUCCGACAUUAAAAUGUCUCAGUGCAGCAGAAUUUCCCAGCGACUUCGGUGGCGGGAGAGCAGCACCUCUCAGGCACAGCUGUGCGCAUCCCUCGGGCCCCACCGACCGCACCAUCCGACCGCAC
rnacentral:lncRNA from 1 species